AAAUUAAAUAGCAUGGAUAUCAACAUGGCCUGAUAUAAAAGGGCUAGCUGUGUUUGCCGGGCACAUUGGCAGCAGCAUGAACUGGUUCACGCUACUCGUUGCCCUGGUGGCUUUGCUGAGCUCCGCGAUGGGCUAGCUGUGUUUACCGGGCACAUUGGCAGCAGCAUGAACUGGUUCACGCUACUCGUUGCCCUGGUGGCUUUGCUGAGCUCCGCGAUGGCUCAACAACAAGAAAGGUCUCCGGACUACACAGACCGAUAUGCUGAGCUGGCAUCGCCCGUGCCUGCCAAUGUCAACCUCGACGAAUUAGUGGCAUCCCUAAGAGCUGCUGGCAACCAUCCCUAAAUGGGAAAUCCGUCCACUAUGUUAUUUUCUACACAACAUAUGCCCAUGAAAAUCUG